rnacentral:rRNA from 1 species
CCCGGGCUCAACCUGGGAACUGCAUUCGAAACUGGCAGGCUAGAGUCUUGUAGAGGGGGGUAGAAUUCCAGGUGUAGCGGUGAAAUGCGUAGAGAUCUGGAGGAAUACCGGUGGCGAAGGCGGCCCCCUGGACAAAGACUGACGCUCAGGUGCGAAAGCGUGGGGAGCAAACAGGAUUAGAUACCCUGGUAGUCCACGCCGUAAACGAUGUCGACUUGGAGGUUGUGCCCUUGAGGCGUGGCUUCCGGAGCUAACGCGUUAAGUCGACCGCCUGGGGAGUACGGCCGCAAGGUUAAAACUCAAAUGAAUUGACGGGGGCCCGCACAAGCGGUGGAGCAUGUGGUUUAAUUCGAUGCAACGCGAAGAACCUUACCUACUCUUGACAUCCAGAGAACUUAGCAGAGAUGCUUUGGUGCCUUCGGGAACUCUGAGACAGGUGCUGCAUGGCUGUCGUCAGCUCGUGUUGUGAAAUGUUGGGUUAAGUCCCGCAACGAGCGCAACCC